GUCUAUGACCAUACUACCCUGAACAAGCCCGGUUCUGUCUGAUCUCGGAAGCUAAGCAGAGUCGGGCCUGGUUAGUACUUGAAAGGGAGAUCGCCUAGGAAGACCAGGUGCUGUAGGUA
ensembl:rRNA 5S_rRNA 5S ribosomal RNA